rnacentral:rRNA from 1 species
CCUACGGGAGGCAGCAGUGGGGAAUAUUGCACAAUGGGGGAAACCCUGAUGCAGCGACGCCGCGUGAGUGAAGAAGUAAUUCGUUACGUAAAGCUCUAUCAGCAGGGAAGAAACACUGACCUUACGGUCAGCAGACGGUACCUGAGUAAGAAGCCCCGGCUAACUACGUGCCAGCAGCCGCGGUAAUCCGUAGGGGGCAAGCGUUAUCCGGAUUUACUGGGUGAAAAGGGAGCGUAGACGGUGCGCCAAGUCUGGAGUGAAAUGCCGCAGCUUAACUGCGGAACUGCUUUGGAAACUGGCGAACUAGAGUGCGGGAGGGGUAAGCGGAAGUCCUAGUGUAGCGGUGAAAUGCGUAGAUAUUAGGAGGAACACCGGUGGCGAAGGCGGCUUACUGGACCGUAACUGACGUUGAGGCUCGAAAGCGUGGGGAGCAAACAGGAUUAGAUACCCGAGUAGUC